rnacentral:tRNA from 1 species
GGGUCCGCUUACCCCGCCGGGUCGCCCUUACAAGGCGAGUGUCGGCGGUUCGAGCCCGUCAGCACCCACCA